rnacentral:rRNA from 1 species
GAUGAACGCUAGCGGCAGGCUUAAUACAUGCAAGUCGAGGGGCAGCAGGAUUGUAGCAAUACAGUUGCUGGCGACCGGCAAACGGGUGCGGAACACGUACGCAACCUUCCUUUAACUGGGAGAUAGCCCAUCGAAAGGUGGAUUAAUAUCCCAUAGAAUAUUUGAAUGGCAUCAUUUAGAUAUUAAAGCUCCGGCGGUUAAAGAUGGGCGUGCGUCUGAUUAGGUAGUUGGCGGGGUAACGGCCCACCAAGCCCACGAUCAGUAGCUGAUGUGAGAGCAUGAUCAGCCACACGGGCACUGAGACACGGGCCCGACUCCUACGGGAGGCAGCAGUAAGGAAUAUUGGUCAAUGGACGCAAGUCUGAACCAGCCAUGCCGCGUGGAGGAUGAAGGCCCUCUGGGUUGUAAACUUCUUUUCUUUGGGACGAAACCCCUGUUUCUACGGGGACUGACGGUACCAGAGGAAUAAGCACCGGCUAACUCCGUGCCAGCAGCCGCCGUAAGAC